UAGGGAAUAUUGGACAAUGGGGGCAACCCUGAUCCAGCCAUGCCGCGUGAGUGAAGAAGGCCCUCGGGUUGUAAAGCUCUUUUGUCCGGAAAGAAAAGCAUUCGGUGAAUACCCGGAUGUUCUGACGGUACCGGAAGAAUAAGCACCGGCUAACUUCGUGCCAGCAGCCGCGGUAAUACGAAGGGUGCAAGCGUUACUCGGAAUUACUGGGCGUAAAGCGUGCGUAGGUGGUUGUUUAAGUCUGAUGUGAAAGCCCUGGGCUCAACCUGGGAAUGGCAUUGGAAACUGGGCAGCUAGAGUGCGGUAGAGGGGAGUGGAAUUCCCGGUGUAGCAGUGAAAUGCGUAGAGAUCGGGAGGAACAUCUGUGGCGAAGGCGACUGCCUGGACCAGCACUGACACUGAGGCACGAAAGCGUGGGGAGCAAACA
rnacentral:rRNA from 1 species